GGGCCCGUAGCUCAGUACGGACAGAGUGGCAGCCCCCUAAGCUGUAGGCCGAGGGUUCAAAUCCCUCCGGGCCCGCCA
rnacentral:tRNA from 1 species